GCCCAAGCUCUAAAAAGCUGCCGCCCUAGCCUCUCAUCCCCCUCUUUGUUCAAUCCUCAAUCCUUCUUCCACCUGUUCAUAGCCUCUACUUCAACGUUUCAGCAAGGAGGAGGAUAAAGGGAGCAAUGGCGAGUGGAAUCAACAUCAUGCACGGCUAGAGGUUUAGUCUUCGGAGGAGUAGAUGAAGUUUUUAAUUUGCAAUCUUGUAUUUUAUUUUGAAUAUCAUUAUGUAUUUAUCUUUGAUACAAUUAGUGAUUUGAAAAUUUAUAAGAUUCUAUUUUAUAUUGAGCUU
rnacentral:lncRNA from 1 species